UACAGGGGGGGCAAGCGUUGUUCGGAAUUACUGGGCGUAAAGGGCUCGUAGGCGGCCAACUAAGUCCGACGUGAAAUCCCAAAGCUUAACUUUGGAACUGCGUCGGAUACUGGAUGGCUUGAAUUCGGGAGAGGGAUGCAGAAUUCCAGGUGUAGCGGUGAAAUGCGUAGAUAUCAUUUGGAACGCCAAUGGUGAAAACAGGUAGCUGGGAGUGUGCUGACGCUGAGACACGAAAGCCAGGGGAGCAAACGGG
rnacentral:rRNA from 1 species